GACGAACGCUGGCGGCGUGCUUAACACAUGCAAGUCGAACGGAAAGGCCCUGCUUUUGUGGGGUGCUCGAGUGGCGAACGGGUGAGUAACACGUGAGUAACCUGCCCUUGACUUUGGGAUAACUUCAGGAAACUGGGGCUAAUACCGGAUAGGAGCUCCUGCUGCAUGGUGGGGGUUGGAAAGUUUCGGCGGUUGGGGAUGGACUCGCGGCUUAUCAGCUUGUUGGUGGGGUAGUGGCUUACCAAGGCUUUGACGGGUAGCCGGCCUGGGAGGGUGACCGGCCACAGUGGGACUGAGAUACGGCCCAGACUCCUACGGGAGGCAGCAGUGGGGAAUAGUGCACAAUGGGCGGAAGCCUGAUGCAGCAACGCCGCGUGCGGGAUGACGGCCUUCGGGUUGUAAACCGCUUUCGCCUGUGACGAAGCGUGAGUGACGGUAAUGGGUAAAGAAGCACCGGCUAACUACGUG
rnacentral:rRNA from 1 species